rnacentral:rRNA from 1 species
GUCCACGCCGUAAACGUUGGGCACUAGGUGUGGGGAUCUAUCGACGGUUUCCGUGCCGAAGCUAACGCAUUAAGUGCCCCGCCUGGGGGAGUACGGCCGCAAGGCUAAAACUCAAAGGAAUUGACGGGGGCCCGCACAAGCGGCGGAGCAUGUGGCUUAAUUCGAUGCAACGCGAAGAACCUUACCAAGGCUUGACAUGCUGGGUAAUCCGUGGAAACACGGUGAUCCUUCGGGAUCCAGCGCAGGUGGUGCAUGGCUGUCGU